rnacentral:rRNA from 1 species
GAUGAACGCUGGCGGCGUGCUUAACACAUGCGAGUCGAACGGAAAGGCCCAAGCUUGCUUGGGUACUCGAGUGGCGAACGGGUGAGUAACACGUGGGUGAUCUGCCCUGCACUUCGGGAUAAGCCUGGGAAACUGGGUCUAAUACCGGAUAGGACCACUUCUUGGAUGUUGUGGUGGAAAGUUUUUUCGGUGUGGGAUGAGCUCGCGGCCUAUCAGCCUGUUGGUGGGGUAAUGGCCUACCAAGGCGUCGACGGGUAGCCGGCCUGAGAGGGUGUACGGCCACAUUGGGACUGAGAUACGGCCCAGACUCCUACGGGAGGCAGCAGUGGGGAAUAUUGCACAAUGGGCGCAAGCCUGAUGCAGCGACGCCGCGUGGGGGAUGACGGCCUUCGGGUUGUAAACUCCUUUCGCUAGGGACGAAGCGUUUUGUGACGGUACCUGGAGAAGAAGCACCGGCUAACUACGUG